UACGUAGGGGGCAAGCGUUGUCCGGAUUCAUUGGGCGUAAAGAGCGUGUAGGCGGCCAGGUAGGUCGGUUGUGAAAACUGGAGGCUCAACCUUCAGAGGUCGACCGAAACCAUCUGGCUAGAGUCCGGGAGAGGGAGAGAGUACGUUCGUGGUGUGACGGUGAAAUGCGCAGAUAUCAGGAGGAACACCAAUUGCGAAGGCAGCUCGCUGGGACGUAACUGACGCUGAGACGCGAAAGCGUGGGGAGC
rnacentral:rRNA from 1 species